rnacentral:rRNA from 1 species
GAUGAACGCUGGCGGCGUGCUUAAGACAUGCAAGUCGAACGGAGUGUGUAGCAAUACUCACUAAGUGGCGAAUGGGUGAGUAACACGUGGGUAAUUUGCCUUUGGGUGGGGAAUAACUCAGGGAAACUUGAGCUAAUACCGCAUAAUGCAGCGGCUCGACAUCGAGACAGUUGUUAAAGCGGGGGAUCGCAAGACCUCGCGCCUGAAGAGAAGCCUGCGGCAGAUUAGCUAGUUGGUAGGGUAAUGGCCUACCAAGGCGACGAUCUGUAACCGGCCUGAGAGGGCGGUCGGUCACACUGACACUGACAUACGGGUCAGACUCCUACGGGAGGCAGCAGUCGGGAAUUUUGGGCAAUGGGCGCAAGCCUGACCCAGCAACGCCGCGUGAAGGA